rnacentral:misc_RNA from 1 species
GAAAUGCGAUAAGUAGUGUGAAUUGCAGAAUUCAGUGAAUCAUCGAAUCUUUGAACGCACAUUGCGCCCUUUGGUAUUCCAAAGGGCAUGCCUGUUCGAGCGUCAUUUGUACCCUCAAGCUUUGCUUGGUGUUGGGCGUCUUGUCUCCAGUUCGCUGGAGACUCGCCUUAAAGUAAUUGGCAGCCGGCCUACUGGUUUCGGAGCGCAGCACAAGUCGCGCUCUCUUCCAGCCAAGGUCAGCAUCCACAAAGCCUUUUUUCAACUUUUGACCUCGGAUCAGGUAGGGAUACCCGUUGAACUUAAGC